CAGUAGCCACGGUAAUACGAAGGGUGCAAGCGUUACUCGGAAUUACUGGGCGUAAAGCGUGCGUAGGUGGUGGUUUAAGUCCGUUGUGAAAGCCCUGGGCUCAACCUGGGAAUUGCAGUGGAUACUGGGUCACUAGAGUGUGGUAGAGGAUAGUGGAAUUUCCGGUGUAGCAGUGAAAUGCGUAGAGAUCGGAAGGAACAUCUGUGGCGAAGGCGACUAUCUGGGCCAAUACUGACACUGAGGCACGAAAGCGUGGGGAGCAAACAGGAUUAGAUACCCGAGUAGUCCCUGUCUCUUAUAC
rnacentral:rRNA from 1 species